rnacentral:rRNA from 1 species
CCCUUAGAUGUUCUGGGCUGCACGCGCGCUACACUGAAGCUAUCAACACGUUUUCCCUCCCUGAGAAGGGCGGGUAACCUUUUGAAUCAGCUUCGUGGUAGGGAUCGGGGCUUGCAAUUGUUCCCCGUGAACCAGGAAUUCCUAGUAGACGCGAUUCAUAAGCUCGCAUCGAUUAAGUCCCUGCCCUUUGUACACACCGCCCGUCGCUACUACCGAUUGAACGUUUUAGUGAGGCAUUUGGACCGACGCAUCUCAGUUUAACCGCUGGUUUGUGUUGGAAAGACUUCCAAACUUGAGCGUUUAGAGGAAGUAAAAGUCGUAACA